UCACACCUGUUCCCAUGCCGAACACAGAAGUUAAGCUCCUUAGCGCCCAUGGUAGUCGGACUUACGUUCCGCGAGAGUAGGACGUUGCCAGGC
rnacentral:rRNA from 1 species